rnacentral:rRNA from 1 species
GACAGAGGGUGCAAACGUUGUUCGGAAUUACUGGGCGUAAAGGGCGAGUAGGCGGCCUUCUAAGUCAGACGUGAAAUCCCCAGGCUCAACUUGGGAACUGCGUCUGAUACUGGAUGGCUUGAAUUCGGGAGAGGGAUGCAGAAUUCCAGGUGUAGCGGUGAAAUGCGUAGAUAUCUGGAGGAAUACCGGUGGCGAAGGCGGCAUCCUGGACCGAGAUUGACACUGAUGAGCGAAAGCCAGGGGAGCAAACGGG